CGGCCCUUCAUAUCCCUUAGGACAAAACCCGCAAUCCUUACCAGGUCCUUCACGCACCUGCCACUCCCUGCCACCUCCUCUCACCCCACUCCCCUUCCCCCUGGAGGCUGCCAGCACCCCCCCCCCCAACUCCUGCCACAGGGCCUUGACACAAGCUCUUCGCUCUUCCUGGAGUAGUCUUUCCCUCUUACUUAACGAAUAAACUCUUCUUUCUGACUUCCCAGGGCUCAGCUGGAUCGUACUUUCAAGAACUUGGAAAGUGACUUCAUCUUUCUAAGCUAUGUUUUCUGCUCUGUACGGUGAGGUCAAUACCUGUCUGUUCUUCCUAGGAUUUUUUGAAGGGAAGUGAGGAAUAAAUGAUACCAUUCAUGAAAGCACUUAGCAUCCUAUUUGGUACAUAGUAGGUGGGCAUGUUCUGAGCACUGGCAGCCAUUAUUGAGCUGGUCAGCUGCCUCCACCCUAAGUCCUUUCCUUCAGAUGCUCUCACUCCUGUUGCUGCAGAUGUCGUGGGCUGGGGGGAGGGGGUGCGGAGACCAAGAAAGGGAGGGGGAAAAUGGGGGAGAUGGCGAUCUAACCCUUACAGUGCCCUCCACCUACCACCAGAAGACCCUCCCCAGAGGGUCUGUGUGACUAUUUCCCCAGAAUUCUUAUGUGGAAAUCCCACCUCCCAAAGAUGCUGGUAUUAGAAGGUGGGACCUUGGGGGGGGUGGCGCUGAAUUCGUGAGGGCGGAGCUCUCCUCAGUGGGACUCUUGCCUUAUAAAACGGGCUCCAGAGAGCUCCUCCAGUGUGUGAGGACAGAGAAAAGGCUCUGGCCCUGGAGCAGGAAGAGGGCCCUCGCUCACGGGACCUCUCUGGCACUCCGUUUUGGAACUUCCAGAAUCCAGAGCUGUGAGAAAUGGCGUUUGGGUGAAUUUAAGCCACCCAGUGUCUGGUAUGUUGUUACAGCAGCUGGAAUACACUGCACACCCCCUUCCUUACAUUCUGGCCUAAUGGCCCUUGAGCGUAAGGGAGAGAGGGGCCACGUGGAAGAAGGACCUAGCAUUUGUUGUCAUUGUCUUUUGAUUUUUAGUGUUUAUUCUUUUUGAGAGAGAGCCAGAGCCAGAGCCAGAGACAGAAUGUGAAUGGGGAAGGGGCAGAGAGAGAAUUUGACUAGGCUCCAGGCCCUGAGCUGUCAGCACGGAGUCCAACGCGGGGCUUGAACUCUCGAGCUGUGAGAUCACGAACUGAGCCGAAGUCGGACAUGUAACCUACCGAGGCCCCCGGGCGCCCCUGUUCUCGUGGUCUUACAGACAAAGACGUGGGGAUCUGGAGUGACCAGGAGGAGGUCACCCCGUUAGUCAGGAGUUGGAAGUCAGGGCUCCUGGAUCUCAAAGCCUCAUCUUCCCCGCAAUCCUGCCCUUUCUACCAAGCAGCCAUGCACUUGGUGUGCCUUUAAAAGGGAACCACGAGUUCAGGACUCUGUUCGGGUCCUUCCUCUAGAACACACGCAGGGACAGGGCCUGCAGCCUCUCCUCAUGCAGGUUUCUGACGAGCGCACAGGCAGACAGGCCCCUGGCUCCGCGGUGCCACUGCGAAGUCCCCUGCUUGCCAUCAACUGGUCGCCAUGAGUCCUUCUCAAGUAAGCCACCUCUGCUGCCUCCUGUGUGCUUUUCUGCUCCGCUGUGCAGGGGGACGUUAGCUGGCCGGCCUCUCUUUCUUCCUUAUCUCACAUGUGGUGCAUAGAGAGGACUCUGCAGGAUGUGAGGUGCGCCACGGCCUAGCCUGUGCUCCGGAGCACGUCAUAUGCGGGCAGACGCCCGUUUCACGUUCCACUCACAUGUAGGUCAGCCAGGGGAGCGGAUGUAGAUCAGCAAGGGGAGCGGGGGCAGGGGGCAGGGUCGUCUAGGUUUUUCUGUGCCCGGGACGAUGCCGGCUCAGCCCUCCAAAGGGCCGCGUGUCCUUUUCGGAGCUGCCCCCUGGCGACCCACAGGUCCAAGCCCUCACUCACAGUGGCAGCUAACCACGGCGGCUACACCACGCUUUUGCCUCACCUGCCGGGGCACCGCAGAGCAGGUGCGGCUGGUGGGCCUGCCGUGGUCUCCUGCACCACACGCCUGCUUCCCCCCGUAUCUAUAGAUGCUCGGAAGAACACUUCCGCCAGCAGAGUUCAUUCUUCUGAGACUUUUACCUUAAAACACGAGUGCCCAGGGGAACAGGAAAACCAUAAAUUGUUGUCAGCUAAGAACUGGCGGCUGGUGUAGUGUCUAACAAGUAUCUUGUUACAAGUGAAUGUUGAAAUACCCACAUUUGGCAAUAAGGUGCUUCUGCCUUUUAUGUAUUUGACAGAUGCGUAACUCGUCCUUUUGGUAUCUCGUUCACUUACUCGGGCACCGGCAACGCUGUUUGGUUGGGAGAGCCACAGGAAGCGUUACAGUUCUAGGGACGUCGGGUGGCCGGGAUGGGGCCUCCCUGCAAACACCAUUCAACAGAAUCAGGCUGAGAGCCAGUGGCCUGGAGGCUCCGAACUAGAAUGGGGGCGGUACCGAGCUCUUCCUCAGAGCGUUGCGAGGAUCAGAUGCAGAGGAUGCUCGUACGGCACACACUCACAGCAUCGCCGUUCACCUCAUCGUCCUCAGUGCCAUUCACAUCGUCAUCACGGUCACCAUUGCUGGCCUCGCCAUCAUCAUGACAAGCACGAGGUUUUGAUUUGCCCCGAGCCUGGGUGUCCACCUUGGGAAAAAUCUGUGAGUGGCAGAUACUCAUAGAACUCUGGAGUUGGACCGAAACCUCAAUGAAAUAUCACCGCAUACCUGUCAGAUCAGCUGUUAGCAAAAAUGACCAAGAAAUGUCAAGAAAUAAUAAGUUUUGGUGAGGAUGAAGAGAAAAAAGGAACCCUCACGCAUUGCUGAUGGGAAUAUAAACUGGUGUGACUACAAUGGAAAACACAGUGGAGGUUCCUCAAAAAAAUGAAAAGUAGAACCACCUUAUGAUCCAGCAGUUGCAUUUCUGGGCAUUUAUCUGAAGAAAGAGAAGACACCAAUUUAAAGAGAUCUACACACCCCUGUGUACAUUGGCACAUUAGUUACAGUAGCCAAGAUACGGGUGCUACGUCAGUGUCGAUCAAUACCUGAACAGAUAAAGAUGUGGUUGGUGUUCAUGCACAAUGGAAUAUUACGCAGCCAUUAAAAAAGAAUACAGUCUUGCUAUUUGCAGCAACACGGAUGGACCUCGUGGCUGUGAUGCUAAGAAAAAUAUGUCACAGACAAAGAUAAAUUCUGUGUGAUUUCACUUCGAUCUGGAAUAUAUAAGACAAAAAACAAAUAGAACAGACAAAAUAAGGGGGUCUCAUAGAUACAUAGAACAGACCAUUGGUUACCAGAAGGAAGCGGGUUUCGGGGGGUGGGUGAAAUAGGGGAAGAGGAUUUUCCAGUUACAAAAUGAAUAUGUCAUGAGGAUGUAUUGUAAAACCCAGAGAAUAUAGUCAACAAUGUCGUAAUAACUUUGGUGACAGAUAACUAGGCUUAUCGUGGGGAUCGCUUAGUAAUGUAUAAAAAUACCAAAUCACUGUGAUGUACCCUUGAAACUAAAAGGCUAUUGUGUGUCAGUUACACUUCAGUUACAAAAAAAAAAAUCUCAGAAGUAGGCCUUCCUGUGCUGACAUCAGUGGUGGCCACUUUCUGGGGGUGGGGGGGUGGAACACUUUGGAAACCAGGUCACAGAGGAAAGUGCCUCUUGCUGUUCUGGGCUCAGAGGUCUGCUGUGGAAGUGAAGUGCAGAGGGAGCCCGGCCUCAUUGCAUCGAUAAUACGAUCCCGUAACUCAUUCUGCUGCCAUGAAGGUGGACGGACGGUCCCCAUCCCUGCCAUUGAACACUGCCCCUGUUUUCCUCAGAGGGGUAUCUGCUCGCCAGUGGUGAUUAGAGUGCCCCGAACAGGCCCUUGCUAUUAAGAGUUUGUGGCUCCAGUUUAAUAAAAGGUAGUAUAUUAAAAUGGAAACAUGUUAUUCUUGAUAAGGACUAGACAUAUUAUAGGCCAGAUGAAAGCUUUGAUAAUGCAAAAUGCAGGGAAAGGAAGCGAAGGGGUAUGGAAUACCUACUACGCACAGAUUGCUUUGCUGGACGCUUUGGAGGGGCAUCACCGCAAAAUGCCCGUGCCACCCAAUGAACCAAGCCCAGCCUCUCUGGUAUAUUAAUAUAUUUAAUUAUCAGACUUUCAGCAUUAAAGGAGAUUACAAUAGAGGCAUCCAGUUGAUUGGGGAAUAGUUGCUGCAAAUGAUAAGCUCUUUUGAAUAAGCCGAUACUGGCUUAAUGAGGUUUUGCAGUGUGUUAUUUUUUUCCUGAUAGAAAAUCGAGUGACUGCUCUCCUCCCCCACCACGCUCAGUCCUUUCGCUUCCUAGUAAUGACCCCCUUUUCUCUUGCUUCAUGGGAACUUUUAAAAAUUUAAAUUAAUGGAUUUUUUUAGCCUCCAGUUUCUGGAAUUCUAAGAGGGUCUGAAAGGUAAGUGCUCAAUUACCGAGGCAUGCGAACAAAAAUAGGCAGCUUAGCUAGGGAAGUGAAAAUAGAGAGGAGUCCCCCCACCUUCCCUGGAGUUGUGUGUUUUGUUUCUGGAAGAGGUUCAAGAAGUAUUCAACCUCCAGUUAAUUUGGCUGGCCCUUUCGGAUAACUUCUUCCUGGGGCGGCAUGAGCUUCAUCGCUUAAAGAAUUCAUAAGACCAGUCUGAGGGCCUCUGUACUGGGGAGAAUUCCUUAUGUUAGCGAAGAGGCUGGUGUGGUUUGAACUUGCCUGCCCAAUUCCUGACAGGCGCCUGUGCCCGCUUGAGGCAAACCGAUGGUCCAGCCUCCCCGGUGCCUGGUCAUCUAGAGCACAUCGAGGAACCUGCAAAAAUAAAAAAUAAAUAGCACGCCUCAAACACCCAGCACACCUCUUCCAUUUUCAACAUGUGCUCCCUAAUCCUGUGAUAAGUAUUCCUGCCCCCGUGUUACCGAUGAGGCUUGUAACAGUUCAAGCAGAUGGGCCAUAGUCACGUCACUCCUCAGUCGCCCACUUGGCAUUUGAAAUCAGAUUUUUCUGGAACUUUCUACCAUGUUGCACUCCCUUAGUCCCUGAGGCCAUCCUCAGAACAAAGAAAUGAGGAAAGGGGGCUACAGACGCUGUUCUUCUGGGGGUCCCUUGGUAAAUGGCACAGAACUAAAUACAUAGUGGGUGCCCUGUCUCUUCUGUCUGAAAGAAACGUAAGGACCUUAGAAGUGGAGCUCUUGGUAGUAGUAGGGCAUAUGUGGCCUGGGUAAUGUUCUCCUGGCCCAGGGCCUGCUGCAGUGUUCGCCCCCAUCUCCCAUCCCGCGGGAGCUCAUCGGGGACCUCUGUAGGUGGUAUCAGCGCCCAUGAAGUGCAGGGUACAUGGAAGA